rnacentral:lncRNA from 1 species
AUGACUUGUCUGUCCUCACAAAAUGGAUUUCUGACUGUCACACUUCUCCGUGACACUGUGGAAAUAAAGCUAGAUAGAUGGAAUGUAUUUUCCUCUCAAAAGAGACAGGCCUUUGAUUCCUGUGUGAAGACAGGCUUUCCUUGCACUGCUUCUUCCAAACAACCAAGCCUAAUCAAGUGGACUUUAGUUUCUUCAUCAAGAUGCAAGGAUUGUUUUGAUGCCUGUUCCACAGAUCUUCCCAAAGCAUUUCCUAUGGGUGAUGCUGCUAGCACUCCUUGCACUGUACCUUUGUACACACACUGACAACACGGAUGUAACCCUGCAGCUACUUGCCAGGUAGCAUAGUAUAAUCUUAAUUUUACUGAUAAGAGUGAUUUAUCUGAGGUCACAGUGGAAAAAAAUUAUCAUCUUGAUCUCAUCAUGAUUCUCAGUGGAGUUCCCUCUGUCUGACAGCAUAAAUCAAAGGGAAAAAAAUUAAAUCAGUAGAAAACUGGUGUAGCUUUUCAUCUGUUAUCCCUGCAUUCCUUGUGCCUUUUAAGCUUGUUUGAUUGCUUUUCAGGGAGGUGGCUUUUAAAUUUAAUUAGCAUGCUACUACUCACUCCUCCAUCUGACAUGGAAAAGCUGGAAUUAAUUGCAUAUUGACUAACUGAACCACUUACAGCAAGGCAUUGCAUUCAUCCAGUGCUGUGCCCACUGGUGUAUGCAAGAACUUGGGGCUCACUGGGCUGCUGCUUGCAGGCUGUGACCUGUAGUACUUGCAGGCACUACACCCAGAGGAGCUGCCACCUCCAGCAGCAAUCAUGAGACCUGAAAGCAAAGACAGCCCUCUUGCUUGUGUUGCAGAGCAAAGUUGCCUCAAAGUUGCCUCUAAGUGCUGCCUCUGCCACCAGCACUUGCUGGGUACCACACACACAUUUUGUUUAUACGUGUAUGUGUGAAUUUAUCAAUGUAUUGUAUGCAUUUAUAGGUGUGUAAAUACAUUUAUCUGUACCAAGUCUGGCUGGGAUGGAGUUAGCUUGCUUAUCAGCAUUCCCUGUGGUGCUGUGCUUUGGAUUUGUGGUGUGUUGUUAACACACAGGUGUUUUGGCUGUGUGCUUGCUUAGCAUGAAGGUUUUUUUCCUCCCACUCUGCCCCCCUCCAGCAGACCAUUCAUAGAACGGUUUGGGUUGGAAGGGCUCUUAAAGAUCACCUAGUUCUGAUCCUCACUGCCAUGGUGAGUAUAUGUAUUGUAUGUAUGAGUAUAUAUGGGUCUAGAAGAGUGCCAUAAAAAUAAUUUGGGGUCUGGAACAUCUCUCUCAGAGGA